GAGGCCCCAGGAUGGGACCGCGUCCUAUCAGGUAGUAGGUGAGGUAACGGCCCACCUAUCCUAAGACGGGUGCGGGCUCUGAGAGGAGGAGCCCGGAGAUGGGCACUGAGACAAGGGCCUAGGCCCUACGGGGCGCAGCAGGCGCGGAACUUCCCCAAUACGCGCAAGCGUGAGGGAGUGAGCUCGAGUGCUGCCCGCUGAGGGUAGCUGUUCCCAGGUGUAAACAGCCUGGGGUAGGAAGGGGAGGGUAAGGCUGGUGCCAGCCGCCGCGGUAAAACCAGCUCCCCGAGGGGUCCCCACGCAUACUGGGCCUAAAGCGUCCGUAGCCGGCCCUGUAAGUCCCCGGUUAAAUCCACUGGAAGACCAGUGGGCCGCCGGGGAUACUGUAGGGCUAGGGAGCGAGAGGGGUCGAGGGUAUUCCGGGGGAUAGCGGUAAAAUGCAUAGAUCCCCGGAGGACCACCAGUGGCGAAGGCGCUCGGCUGGAACGCGUCCGACGGCGAGGGACGAAAGCUGGGGGAGCAAACCGGAUUAGAUACCCGGGUAGUCCCAGCUGUAAACGAUGCCGGCUAGGUGCCGGCCGAGGUUUCGGCCUCGGCCGGUGUCGAAGCGAAGGCGUUAAGCCGGCCGCCUGAGGAGUACGGCCGCAAGGCUGAAACUUGAAGGAAUUGACGGGGGGGCACCACAAGGGGUGAAUGCCUGCGGCUCAAUUGGACUCAACACCGGGAAUCUUACCGGGAGCGACAGCAGGAUGAAGGUCAGGCUGAAGACCUUACCUGACGCGCUGAGGGGUGGUGCAUGGCCGUCGCCAGCUCGUGCCAUGAGGUGUCCUGUUAAGUCAGGCAACGAGCGAGACCCCCACCCUUAGUUGCCAGCGGGGCCCUUUGGGGCUGUCUGGGCAAACUAAGGGGACUGCCGGCGAAGAGCCGGAGGAAGGAGAGGGCCACGGCAGGUCAGUAUGCCCCUAAUCCCCCGGGCCGCACGCGGGCUGCAAUGGGCAGGACAGCGGGAUGCGACCCCGAGAGGGGAAGCAAAUCCCUGAAACCUGCUCGUAGUCGGGAUCGAGAGCUGUAACUCGCUCUCGUGAACCCGGAAUCCCUAGUAACCGCGGUUCUUCAUACCGCGGUGAAUACGUCCCUGCCCCUUGUACWCACCGCCCGU
rnacentral:rRNA from 1 species